UAUAACUUUUUUUUUUAAUUACAACAAUGUAAAUUUAUUAUAAUGUUAUCUUAAUUCUGAGUGUUUGUUCUACUUUAUAUUGUUUUCAAAAUAAUGAAUAGCCCCUGGGCUUGCAGAAAACAUUUCAUAAACUCUUCAAAGUGACAAAUCAGAAUUUGGAGGAAAGGCAUCUAGUAUAUUAGUUUAAUAAAUACACGUGUGCACAUAUAGCCAAAUGUACCUAAAUGAAAAGUAAUCAAUUCUGAGCUGAUAAGAAUGGUUUAACUGACUCCUUAUGGAUUGAGAUCUGCAGUGGUUUGAGACAGGAGUGAUCGAGUUGCUGAUGAACAGAGAGAAACGCGCUCUAAUCCCAGCUGGAUUACUAGGACUAUGGAAAGGGAGAAAGAUCGUCCCUGCCCGUUAACGUCGCUCAACAACAGCCGCGUCUCCGAGCGCGCUCACACCGACCACCAAAACACACGCACAUAUCACAAGUUUAAAGUUCAAUGCUGUCUCAAUUCACUCACCUAAUGCUGUGUACGGCUUCGUCCACGUGUCUCGAAGGAAAACGACCCUCCGGGAGAGGUGAACAGGGUCGGGAUGUUUUAUUUGGGUUGACUUGCGCUGGUCUCUCAAGGACGAGGUGAAAUCAUGGGGCUGUGUGCCGGUGCGCACAGGUGUUCACCGCGCGACCGUCAUGAGCUCGUGCCAGUUUCCCACACGCGCCCUGUUUGUUUGAAUUCACCUACGAGCAUCUCUGCUACAGGCUUGCGUAGGCUCAUAUUUUCAGCUGUACUUAAAAUUGGUUUAUUCAGGUAUUUAUAAUUACUGAUACUAAUUGAUUUAAUAGUAGGCUAAAGUAUUCAUAACAUUUUUUGAAUCAUGAAACAGUUUGCCACAUGCCAAUAAAAACAAAAGAAGCAUUUGAUUACAAAUCUGCACAUUAGAUUCCUAAAAUGAAAUUUGCUACCGGUUUGAUUUCAUCUAUCCAAACAAACAUCCGUAGAUUAUUUAAUAAGGUCUGCGUUUAAUGCAAUUUAUUAUUUGAGUGUAACAUCACAUUUCAUGGAGCUUUUGCUCAGGUUUAUUAAGUGUUUUACUUCAUAUUCUUAUUUGAGGAAUUAACAAUGGGAUUUUCGCCCGUUGUGACUGACUUUUAACUGCUUACCUGUACGAGUGUGUCAAUUAGACGCCUACAAAUCUGUUUGAAGUAAGUUAUCAUAUUUUAUUAGAAGUCUGGCUGGCUCACGUGCGCGUGCAUGCGUUUUGUGGUUCCACUGCGCGCGCCACCGAUCGUGUGACGCAGUCCUAAAGCAGCAAAGGUGUGAAUAGGCUUUUCAGCAAUAAAUACAUAAUAUAGGUAAAUAUAUCAGUCAAUUACUAUUUGUCAGACACUUACAACUCUUUUUAUUUAACUGAUAAUACAUACGUAGCUUAGUUUACGUAGUUUGCUGUAGCCCAAUUGAAAGGUGUUCUUUGAAAACAAAUUACCCUCAAAUUCUUUAAAUAGUGAACUUGAACCCUAAGAAUAAAUGAAAAAGCAUUGAUGUUAUUGUUCCAUGUUGCUAGACGAUCAGGAAAGUCAAGGUUUAAAAAAAAGAGAGCAAACAUAACUGGGGGAUUUUCGUUACGCUUUACAAAACAAGAAUGAUGAUAGCCUUCUUCUAGGCAAAUCAGUUAAGAGCAGUUAAGUUAAAAACAGCACAAGUCAAAAGGAAAAGCUCACCGUUUACAGGUUAAAUUAUGGUAGAAUAAUACAAAUUUUAAAUAAAAAAAACUACUAUAAAGUAGUCAUUUAUAUAAUUUUGAAUUUUGUCUGAAUCUAAUCUACUGCAUAUAUUAAAAUGUAGGUACAGCAUGUAAAUCAGAUCGAGCGGCUUGGGAGGAUAUUUUUACACAGACUACAGUACUCAGAAAUAGUCAUAACUGACCUCUAGCGGUGGAUAUGUUUUAAUGCAGGC
ensembl:lncRNA